GAUGAACGCUGGCGGCGUGCCUAAUACAUGCAAGUCGAGCGAACAGACGAGGAGCUUGCUCCUCUGACGUUAGCGGCGGACGGGUGAGUAACACGUGGAUAACCUACCUAUAAGACUGGGAUAACUUCGGGAAACCGGAGCUAAUACCGGAUAAUAUAUUGAACCGCAUGGUUCAAUAGUGAAAGACGGUUUUGCUGUCACUUCUAGAUGGAUCCGCGCCGCAUUAGCUAGUUGGUACGGUAACGGCUUACCAAGGCAACGAUGCGUAGCCGACCUGAGAGGGUGAUCGGCCACACUGGAACUGAGACAGGGUCCAGACUCCUACGGGAGGCAGCAGUAGGGAAUCUUCCGCAAUGGGCGAAAGCCUGACGGAGCAACGCCGCGUGAGUGAUGAAGGUCUUCGGAUCGUAAAACUCUGUUAUUAGGGAAGAACAAAUGUGUAAGUAACUAUGCACGUCUUGACGGUACCUAAUCAGAAAGCCACGGCUAACUACGUG
rnacentral:rRNA from 1 species